ACCCAUUUAAAGCUCGUCAAAGGACUUGUUCAAUAUCCUGGGUCCCUUUCUGUUCAUUUUUUCUCUCCCCCCGUGCUGUCCUCCUUCAACUUUCCCCGACCACCCCUCCUCUUUUUAAGCUCUUGGCACCAAGUAACUAUGAAGACUCUGAGAACUGGACCAUCCCAAGGCUGUAGCUUUCUUCAAGCCUGGCAGGCUCUGUCGUGGUGAAGAGUCUGAAGGCUUUUUCUUUUCCAGUAACACAGGAGGUGAUUGAAUGGAAGGAGUGGCCAGUCACUCUUUGGCGUCCAGGAUCCAAGAAGAAACAGAUGAGGAGGAAGGAGGAUAAACAACUUCUGGACAAAGCGAGGACAUUGUGACUUUGAGGCCUCUUACCUCUGCAAACUAGCCAGGAGAAAAGCUGUGACUGAAGAAACUGCCUCCUCCAAAGUUUCUGGGCCCUGCCCUUCACAGGGCAAUGUUCCCAGCUAUGGUAAGAAGCAAAGAGAAGACAAAGACCAAAGCCUGAGGCAGAAGGGGAAUCACAUACAAAGACCACCAUCUCGCUCUGCCUCUCCUACCAGCUUGUUCUCAUCCUCUGGCUGUUUCUAAGCUCAGAGAUCUUUCAGGCCUGCCCAGGAUGGCUGGAACAAACUCCUCAUACUAUUUAUUCAGUCAGCAAAUGUUUACGAAGUCCGAGUGAGGUGGCUCAUGCUUGCAAUCCCGGAAAUUUGAGAGGCUAAAGUGGGAGGAUCGCUUGAGGCCAGGAGUUCAAGACCAGCCUGGACAACAUAGCAAGAGCCCAUCUCUACACAAAAUUAAAAAAUUAGCCAGGUGUGAUGGCCAUGGUUAUAGUCCCAGCUACUCUGGAGGCUGAGGUGGGAGGAUCACUUGAAGCCGGGAGUUUGAGGCUGCAGUGAGCUAUGAUUGCACCACUGCACUCUAGCCUGAGCAAUGGAGCAAGACCCUGUCUGAAAAAAAAAGUUUGUUAAGAGUGACGGGCACUCUUUCUAGGCACUGGGGAAGUAGCAAGAAACAAAGCUGAGGACAGCAAUCAACAAAUAAAAACAAAAUAGAAUGUCAAGAAUUAUAAGUGCUCUGAAGAAAAUCAAAGCAGAGACAGGGGCUAGAGAGCAACUAUUCCACAAGGUGGUCAACGAAGGGCUCUCCCAAGAGGCCUGGAAUCUACUUCCCCACCUUCCCUCAUGCAGGGCUUGCUUGGGGCCGCCGUCCUCCUGCUUUGCCAGAGGACUCCCCUCCCAGCCUGCUCUUGUAUGUGUUUAUCUUGAUUUGAAGAUCAGGGAGGCGCUGGGCAUGUCUGCUUCAGCAGGAGACCUGUUACAUUAUUAACUCAUUCAAGACUCACUAGGACUGGGAGACAUCAAGCACAUAUACAAACCUCCGAACACAAACUCUGUUCUUUUCCAAUGCCUGGUCCAGAACAUGAAUGGCCAUUUAAAUAUGGAUUUUUUUUUUUUUUUUUUUUUUUGA
rnacentral:lncRNA from 1 species